rnacentral:rRNA from 1 species
CAGCAGCCACGGGAAUACGUAGGGUGCAAGCGUUAAUCGGAAUUACUGGGCGUAAAGCGUGCGCAGGCGGUUUGUUAAGACAGAUGUGAAAUCCCCGGGCUCAACCUGGGAACUGCAUUUGUGACUGGCAAGCUAGAGUGUGGCAGAGGGGGGUGGAAUUCCGCGUGUAGCAGUGAAAUGCGUAGAUAUGCGGAGGAACACCGAUGGCGAAGGCAGCCCCCUGGGCCAACACUGACGCUCAUGCACGAAAGCGUGGGGAGCAAACAGGACUAGAUACCCGAGUAGUCCCUGUCUCUUAUAC